UUUUAAUUGAAGAGUUUGAUCAUGGCUCAGAUUGAACGCUGGCGGCAGGCCUAACACAUGCAAGUCGAGCGGCAGCGGAAAGUAGCUUGCUACUUUGCCGGCGAGCGGCGGACGGGUGAGUAAUGUCUGGGAAACUGCCCGAUGGAGGGGGAUAACUACUGGAAACGGUGGCUAAUACCGCAU
rnacentral:rRNA from 1 species